rnacentral:rRNA from 1 species
CCUACGGGUGGCAGCAGUGGGGAAUAUUGCACAAUGGGGGAAACCCUGAUGCAGCGACGCCGCGUGAGUGAAGAAGUACUUCGUUAUGUAAAGUUCUAUCAGCAGGGAAGAAAAUGAUGGUACCUGAGUAAGAAGCCCCGGCUAACUACGUGCCAGCAGCCGCGGUAAUACGUAGGGGGCAAGCGUUAUCCGGAUUUACUGGGUGUAAAGGGAGCGUAGACGGGAGUGCAAGUCUGAAGUGAAAGGCGGGGGCUAAACCCCCAGACUAUUCGGGAAACUGUACGGCUGGAGUGCAGGAGAGGUAAGUGGAAUUCCUAGUGUAGCAGUGAAAUGCGUAGAUAUUAGGAGGAACACCAGUGGCGAAGGCGGCUUGCUGGACUGUAACUGACGUUGAGGCUCGAAAGCGUAGGGAGCAAACGGGAUUAGAUACCCGUGUAGUC